UCUCCGUUGGUGAACCAGCGGAGGGAUCAUUACCGAGUUUACAAACUCCCAAACCCUUUGUGAACCUUACCAUAUUGUUGCUUCGGCGGGACCGCCCCGGCGCCUUCGGGCCCGGAACCAGGCGCCCGCCGGAGGCCCCAAACUCUUGAUUUUACAGCGUCUCUUCUGAGUGGAUUAUACAAAUGAAUCAAAACUUUCAACAACGGAUCUCUUGGUUCUG
rnacentral:misc_RNA from 1 species